rnacentral:tRNA from 1 species
AAGAUUUUAGUUAAACCAUAACAGUAGUCUGUCAGCCUACAAUUACCCUCCAGGUAAAUCUUA